UAAGCUAAGCUAUAUUGGUAAAAAGACAGUUAGAUUAUAUAAAGGUAAAAAAUCUGUGAUAUCUUUUAGGGAAACUGGGAUUUGAUACCCCAUUAUUAGGCGUAAAUUUACCAGAGUACUACGAAUUUAAAACUCAAAGAGCUUGGCGGUGUUUUAGACCGGUUAGGGGAACCUGUUUCAUAAUCGACAUUCCGCGUGAGGCCCUACCUUUUYU
rnacentral:rRNA from 1 species